rnacentral:rRNA from 1 species
GAUGAACGCUGGCGGCGUGCCUAAUACAUGCAAGUCGAGCGAAUGGAUUAAGAGCUUGCUCUUAUGAAGUUAGCGGCGGACGGGUGAGUAACACGUGGGUAACCUGCCCAUAAGACUGGGAUAACUCCGGGAAACCGGGGCUAAUACCGGAUAACAUUUUGAACCGCAUGGGUCGAAAUUGAAAGGCCGCUUCGGCUGUCACUUAUGGAUGGUCCCGCGUCGCAUUAGCUAGUUGGGGAGGUAACGGCUCACCAAGGCAACGAUGCGUAGCCGACCUGAGAGGGUGAUCGGCCACACUGGGACUGAGACACGGCCCAGACUCCUACGGGAGGCAGCAGUAGGGAAUCUUCCGCAAUGGACGAAAGUCUGACGGAGCAACGCCGCGUGAGUGAUGAAGGCUUUCGGGUCGUAAAACUCUGUUGUUAGGGAAGAACAAGUGCUAGUUGAAUAAGCUGGCACCUUGACGGUACCUAACCAGAAAGCCACGGCUAACUACGUGCCAGCAGCCGCCGUAA